rnacentral:rRNA from 1 species
UACGAAGGGGGCUAGCGUUGCUCGGAAUCACUGGGCGUAAAGCGCACGUAGGCGGCUUUUUAAGUCAGGGGUGAAAUCCUGGAGCUCAACUCCAGAACUGCCUUUGAUACUGGGAGCUCGAGUCCGGGAGAGGUGAGUGGAAUUCCUAGUGUAGAGGUGAAAUUCGUAGAUAUUAGGAAGAACACCAGUGGCGAAGGCGGCUCACUGGCCCGGUACUGACGCUGAGGCACGAAAGCGUGGGGAGCAAACAGG